UACGUAGGUGGCAAGCGUUGUUCGGAAUUACUGGGCGUAAAGGGCGUGUAGGCGGCUCUUCAAGUCAGACGUGAAAGCCCCGGGCUCAACCCGGGAACUGCGCUUGAUACUGUCGAGCUAGAGUGUGGAAGGGGCGAUUGGAAUUCCGUGUGUAGCGGUGAAAUGCGUAGAUAUACGGAGGAACACCAGAGGCGAAGGCGGAUCGCUGGGCCAACACUGACGCUGAAACGCGAAAGCUAGGGGAGCAAACGGG
rnacentral:rRNA from 1 species